rfam:Gordonia terrae NBRC 100016 DNA, contig: GOTRE141.
CUUGGCGGUGGCAUAGCGUUCGGGGUCAUCCCCGAACUCGCCGAGCAUCCGGGCGCCGGUGAUGUCACCGACUCCGGGCAUG